rnacentral:tRNA from 1 species
GCCAGAGUGGCGGAAUUGGCAGACGCGCCGGAUUCAAAAUCCGGUGGCCGCAAGGUCGUGCGGGUUCGACUCCCGCCUCUGGUA